rnacentral:lncRNA from 1 species
AUGUGCCAGGGGACCGUUAUAUUGAGAAGCAAUAGAAACCGUGCUGAUAAUGCCUUGGGUAUGGAAGAAAGUCAUGAGAAAGACCACCCUCUCCUGUGUGCUCAUCACCAUCACCACCAUCACUGCUACCAUCACCCCAAAAAAGGAAGCAUAAUUUUGUUGGGGGUAAACUUGCAUAUCCAAAAGAGUUACUUGCUCUCUUCCUCUCAAUCCAAACCAAUUAUACUGUUACAGCAAAUACUCGGCACCCAGGAAGAGCUAAGUGACAAGCACUCAGGGAAUCAGAGAAGACUGUUUAUUUCACACCUGUGCCGGCCCAACGGAGUCACCUCCAAAGGCGGAGCGCCCAGCUCAAGUUUUACUGAUCUUUUAUACAUAUGUGCUUCUGGGUUGGGCAGAACUAGUAUAGUGAAGCUUCUGGUUCCUAGCUGCUGGCUGAUGCAAGAGGCAAGCAAGAUUGCAGAAGCCAAAAGCACAGAAGGGGAGUAUCCAGCCUCGGACAUCUGGCUGCCCCUUUUUAUUUGCAUUUACCAGCUUUCCUCCACAGUACUAUAGUACUUAACUUUUUGAUUUUUCAAAAAUCCUUCUCAUCCUUAAGCUAAGGCCCUGACAUACCAAAGAGAAACUGAAUCUCAAGGAGAGUAACUGUUUCGAGAAAUGUGCCUUGGCACUGGGGUUGGUGAUUGGAAGAAGCCAAAAUAACAUGGCAGCCAAGGACCUUCUCUCUCAGAUGGGGAACGUCAAAGAUUUUCUGCUAAUACAUCUGGGUGCAGAGACACAACAUGUAAAACUUUUAGCUUCAUGAAGAAACCAACAUGCAAAGACCUCCUCCGAAAGAGACUCAAAGGCAACGAUCCAACGAAAAGAAGAUUUUAUAACAAAGGCUAAUUUUCAUCUAUUGUUGAUAGUUUCUUGGGACACUGUAUUGAAAGGGUUUUAGUUUUGUUUUGUUUAAAGUUAAACGAGAGACUGGAAUACAAACGCAUCACACAUGCGGUGAUUUGUUGUUACUGCACACACACUGGGGAGGAGAAUGGAAACCUUUCCACUGUUAUUUACCAUCAACAUCCCUCUUCACGCCCCUCCUAGAAAGCAGGUGUGUCUGAUAAACCCACAGUUAUACGUGAUCACAUCCUAAUGCACGAGCAUCCCAGGCUUAAUAUCAUCUUCUGAGAACCAGGAAACCCAUUACUAACAUGCUCGUUAUUGGUUCACAUUACCAAACCAUACAAGACCAGAGGUAACUUGAACAAAGGUCUUAAACACCAUCCGGAUACACCAUCUCUCAUCUCUGCUUCUCUUAGCUGUGUCUGCUUUAUUCUCCGAAACCCACCUUCUCCAUGCCUCUGGCUGCGCCUACAGGAAGCGUUAAAGUCACAC